AGGUAAGCUACUAAGAGCGAAUGGUGGAUGCCUUGACUGGUAAAGGCGAUGAAGGACGUACUAGACUGCGAUAAGCUACGGGGAGCUGUCAAGAAGCUUUGAUCCGUAGAUUUCCGAAUGGGGCAACCCAAUGUAUAGAGAUAUACAUUACCUAUAUAGGAGCGAACGAGGGGAAUUGAAACAUCUUAGUACCCUCAGGAAAAGAAAUCAAUAGAGAUUGCGUCAGUAGCGGCGAGCGAAAGCGCAAGAGGGCAAACCCAGUGCUUGCACUGGGGGUUGUAGGACUGCAAUGUGCAAGAGGUAAGUUUAGCAGAACAUUCUGGAAAGUAUAGCCAUAGAGGGUGAUAGUCCCGUAUGCGAAAAACAAAGCUUAGCUAGCAGUAUCCUGAGUAGGGCGGGACACGAGGAAUCCUGUCUGAAUCCGGGUCGACCACGAUCCAACCCUAAAUACUAAUACCAGAUCGAUAGUGCACAAGUACCGUGAGGGAAAGGUGAAAAGAACUGAGGUGAUCAGAGUGAAAUAGAACCUGAAACCAUUUGCUUACAAUCAUUCAGAGCCCUAUGUAGCAAUACAGGGUGAUGGACUGCCUUUUGCAUAAUGAGCCUGCGAGUUGUGGUGUCUGGCAAGGUUAAGCAAACGCGAAGCCGUAGCGAAAGCGAGUCUGAAUAGGGCGCUUAGUCAGAUGCUGCAGACCCGAAACGAAGUGAUCUAUCCAUGAGCAAGUUGAAGCUAGUGUAAGAACUAGUGGAGGACUGAACCCAUAGGCGUUGAAAAGCCCCGGGAUGACUUGUGGAUAGGGGUGAAAGGCCAAUCAAACUUCGUGAUAGCUGGUUCUCUCCGAAAUAUAUUUAGGUAUAGCGUUGUGUCGUAAUAUAAGGGGGUAGAGCACUGAAUGGGCUAGGGCAUACACCAAUGUACCAAACCCUAUCAAACUCCGAAUACCUUAUAUGUAAUCACAGCAGUCAGGCGGCGAGUGAUAAAAUCCGUCGUCAAGAGGGAAACAACCCAGACUACCAGCUAAGGUCCCUAAGUCUUACUUAAGUGGAAAACGAUGUGAAGUUACUUAAACAACCAGGAGGUUGGCUUAGAAGCAGCCAUCCUUUAAAGAAAGCGUAAUAGCUCACUGGUCUAGUGAUUUUGCGCGGAAAAUAUAACGGGGCUAAAGUAAGUACCGAAGCUGUAGACUUAGUUUAC
rnacentral:rRNA from 1 species